rnacentral:rRNA from 1 species
UACGUAGGGGGCAAGCGUUGUCCGGAUUUAUUGGGCGUAAAGAGCGUGUAGGCGGCUUCACAGGUCCGCUGUGAAAACUCGAGGCUCAACCUCGAGACGCCGAUGGAAACCCCCGAACUAGAGUCCGGAAGAGGAGAAUGGAAUUCCUGGUGUAGCGGUGAAAUGCGCAGAUAUCAGGAAGAACACCCGUGGCUAAGGCGGUUCUCUAGUACGGUACUGACGCUGAGACGCGAAAGCGUGGGGAGCGAACAGG